GAAUCAUAGAAGAUUAAAAUGAAGAAGCCAGGAAAAUAUUUUCUUACUCCAUCUAUUAUUAUUUUUUAUUUAAAAUACAACUGUUUAUCCAUAUCAGAAAGAACUGUCAGUUUUAAUCAGUGUGAAAUGCAGGAGUAUCUUGUCUUACUGCCAUCUUGAGAAUAAGCUCAAGCCGCUUUUCUUAAUUGCAGAUCAGAUGAGAUUUAAUGAAUGGUGUCAAAACUGUUUUACUCAGUACCAUCACUAAAUCUGUAUAUUUUAGAGUUAUUACUAGUAAGUUCUUACAGACAAAGCCUCUUCUUAAUCCUCUGCCCUUAUUAAUUCUAUUGGCUUAGUAGGUGCUUGUCAUGGGUUAGCACUGGCCAGAUGUUAGUGCACCCAUGAAUAUAUGUUUUUUCUCUAACAACUCCUGUGGGAUGUGAUCAGGAACAGAGCAGAGCAGGCUUAAAUCUUGAAAACAAAAAAAAAAACCCACCAAAACUUUAUUAAUUACAUAAGAACAGGGACAGAAAUACUCUUAAACACACACAGAGACAGAAAUAAAAACUUCUUAGAACAUUUCUUCUCCCAGUUUCUACCUCCCCACCCAUCACUCUUCACAGACCAACCCCUGGGUUUUAGAUCAAACAGUCACCACUCAAAAAAAACAAACUAAUCUUCAAUUCAGCAAGGGAGAGAGGAGUCUCUCUCGCACCACAGACUGUUCCUCAGAAAACACGGGUCCACCCCUUAUGUGUUUCCAUGUCACCUAUAGCACCGCCCGGAGAAGUCUGCUCAGGUGACACUCUCUUUUUUCCUAUGUCCAGCGCUCUCACCGCUGUCUCAUAGGCCAAAACUACAUACAGGGCUUUUUAAGGAUGCUGCAUGCCGAGCUCUCCCCUUUUCACCCAGGGGCCGGGGUUCCAGGAGCAGGUCUGCCCUGAGGGCAGAGGGCACCACCUCACCCUCCCCCUCUUUUCUCUGCUCGCUCCAAUUCUUCAAGUGCCAGUCACUGUAGCAAAAGCAAGGGGCAGCUGCAUCCACCUAAAAAUGCAGUUUAUGUUCAAAAGAGACUCAAGUUCAGUCCAUGGCUGACAUUAUGCAAGAAAAGUCCAGCUCCAAGGCUACUCCUCUCAUUCUUCCAUCGAGUUCCUUCCAAUCAUGCUUUAUCAUCUCGGUCCCAGGCCGCUUCCCUCUCUCCGAAAACCACCAGUCAUGAGAAUCAAUGUCUAAGAAAAGUUUCUUUCUGCCAAGCAAGGGUUAACAGUUUCUUCUCGGCAGGGUGCUGCAGGCGGAGGCAUUUCCAGGCUCGGCAACCCCCCACAUGGCUGAGCACCUUCUCCCGGAGUUUGGGGGGAGGGAGGGGGGUGAGCACACACAGAAGGCACUUCCACAGUUUUCCACCCCUCCAUCUUGGACGGGGCAGCUCAGUUCCAGUCCUGUCCCUUUUCUUCUCCCCCCCCCCCCGGGGGGGGCUCCGGCUUACCUGAGCCGACCACGUGUUUCCCCUCCCCCACCCAGCCUCGUGGCCAGGCGGGGGAAGGAGACCUGAGACAUCUCUCUGCUGACACCCGGAUCCGAAAAAGAGGCCGAGCCCUUCAGACUCCUGCUUUUAACUCUUUGUGUCCUCAGAGGCGUGUCCAAACCUCCGAGUGACCAACCCAGGUGCCAGCAGAAAAGCUGAUCACUGAUUGGACUGCCCACAUCCCCCUGGAGGAAUUUACCUCCCCCCCAACCACGACAGUGCUUUUUCCAGCUGUAACUCAUUUGAUCAAAAAUUCUUUGGACAUUAAUUUUUCCUGAUGCAAAUGGUUGCUGAUUGUGGGUUUAGUCUCUCUGGAGUUAAUAAGCUAAAAUAUUCAAUCCAAUUCAUGCAAAAGGGUAUGACUCUGUUGACCAUUACACUGUACUAACCAGAGGAGACCGUAUUUUUCCAGAACAUGACAUAUUUCACUUUACAGUGCAGGGGGUUUAUUUAAGAGAAUUUGCCUACCCAGUGUCUGGUAAUUCCAGCCGCAUUAAUAGUUAUAUAAGUUAUUGUUUACUACUUUCUCCACACUGAGAGGUAUCUCUGGGAAAUCAGAGUCCUGCUGGUUUUGGCACUGCCCAAAUAUGGUGACUGCCAAAGUCUGUUUAGCCUGUCACUGACAGCCAGUAGUCCCCUUUCAGAAUGUCAUAUUCAGCAAAACCUCUUGAAACCAGGACAGUCAAAGAGUGGCGGAGAAAAAAAUUUUGCCUCUGCCUUUUUCUGAGCAGAGCCCCAUCUAAACAUGAUCCAUACUUGUGUUCUUCUUUUCCAGAUAGUGUGUUUCACUGGUUUAUCUAAGACAGCCUAUUAUCUUCACUCUCCUUAUGGCAAAACUUUCAUAGAUGUGAGCAGUAUUAAAGAGUUCUCUACUCAAACACAUUUUAUGGAGAAACCUGACAAUUAUGGAGUGACAAGUCACACCUUCACAUAAUUACAGCAGAAUAUUAAUUAAAAAAUAGUUUGGGAGAUUUGAAAAAAUCCCCUAGCAUCAAAUACCAAAGGAAUAAAAACAAGCAAUGUAAGAGGCACUAAAACUA